GAUGAACGCUGGCGGCGUGCCUAAUACAUGCAAGUCGAGCGAACAGACGAGGAGCUUGCUCCUCUGGCGUUAGCGGCGGACGGGUGAGUAACACGUGGAUAACCUACCUAUAAGACUGGGAUAACUUCGGGAAACCGGAGCUAAUACCGGAUAACAUGUUGAACCGCAUGGUUCAACAGUGAAAGACGGUCUUGCUGUCACUUAUAGAUGGAUCCGCGCCGCAUUAGCUAGUUGGUAAGGUAACGGCUUACCAAGGCAACGAUGCGUAGCCGACCUGAGAGGGUGAUCGGCCACACUGGAACUGAGACACGGUCCAGACUCCUACGGGAGGCAGCAGUAGGGAAUCUUCCGCAAUGGGCGAAAGCCUGACGGAGCAACGCCGCGUGAGUGAAGAAGGUCUUCGGAUCGUAAAACUCUGUUAUUAGGGAAGAACAAAUGUGUAAGUAACUAUGCACGUCUUGACGGUACCUAAUCAGAAAGCCACGGCUAACUACGUG
rnacentral:rRNA from 1 species